UACGUAGGGGAGCGAGCGUUGUCCGGAAUCAUUGGGCGUAAAGAGCAUGUAGGUGGAUCAAUUAGUCUGCUGUGAAAGUCAAAGGCUCAACCUUUGAAAGCCGGUGGAUACUGUUGAUCUAGAGUACGGAAGAGGCGAGUGGAAUUCCUGGUGUAGCGGUGGAAUGCGCAGAUAUCAGGAGGAACACCAAUAGCGAAGGCAGCUCGCUGGGACGUUACUGACACUGAGAUGCGAAAGCGUGGGGAGCAAACAGG
rnacentral:rRNA from 1 species